rnacentral:rRNA from 1 species
CCUACGGGAGACAGCAGUGAGGAAUAUUGGUCAAUGGGCUUACGCCUGAACCAGCCAAGUCGCGUGAGGGAAGACUGCCCUAUGGGUUGUAAACCUCUUUUGUCAGGGAGCAACGCCGGCUACGUGUAGCCGGACUGAGAGUACCUGAAGAAAAAGCAUCGGCUAACUCCGUGCCAGCAGCCGCGGUAAUACGGAGGAUGCGAGCGUUAUCCGGAUUUAUUGGGUUUAAAGGGUGCGUAGGCGGAAUGCCAAGUCAGCGGUAAAAUCGCGGGGCUCAACCUCGCUACGCCGUUGAAACUGGCGGUCUUGAGUGGGCGAGAAGUAUGCGGAAUGCGUGGUGUAGCGGUGAAAUGCAUAGAUAUCACGCAGAACUCCGAUUGCGAAGGCAGCAUACCGGCGCCCAACUGACGCUGAAGCACGAAAGCGUGGGUAUCGAACAGGAUUAGAUACCCCGGUAGUC